GAUGAACGCUGGCGGCGUGCCUAAUACAUGCAAGUCGAGCGAACAGACGCGGAGCUUGCUCCUCUGACGUUAGCGGCGGACGGGUGAGUAACACGUGGAUAACCUACCUAUAAGACUGGGAUAACUUCGGGAAACCGGAGCUAAUACCGGAUAAUAUAUUGAACCGCAGGGUUCAAUAGUGAAAGACGGUUUUGCUGUCACUUAUAGAUGGAUCCGCGCCGCAUUAGCUAGUUGGUAAGGUAACGGCUUACCAAGGCAACGAUGCGUAGCCGACCUGAGAGGGUGAUCGGCCACCCUGGAACUGAGACACGGUCCAGACUCCUACGGGAGGCAGCAGUAGGGAAUCUUCCGCAAUGGGCGAAAGCUUGACGGAGCAACGCCGCGUGAGUGAUGACGGUCUUCGGAUCGUAAAACUCUGUUAUUAGGGAAGAACAAAUGUGUAAGUAACUAUGCACGUCUUGACGGUACCUAACCAGAAAGCCACGGCUAACUACGUG
rnacentral:rRNA from 1 species